UACGAAGGGUGCAAACGUUGCUCGGAAUCAUUGGGCGUAAAGCGCACGUAGGCGGCCUUGUAAGUCGGAUGUGAAAUCCCUCGGCUCAACCGAGGACGUGCAUCCGAAACUGCAAAGCUCGAGUAUGGAAGAGGGUCGCGGAAUUCCCGGUGUAGAGGUGAAAUUCGUAGAUAUCGGGAGGAACACCAGUGGCGAAGGCGGCGACCUGGGCCAAUACUGACGCUGAGGUGCGAAAGCGUGGGGAGCAAACAGG
rnacentral:rRNA from 1 species